AACGCGAAGAACCUUACCUGGUCUUGACAUCCUGGGAAUCCCGUAGAGAUAUGGGAGUGCCGCAAGGAGCCCAGAGACAGGUGCUGCAUGGCUGUCGUCAGCUCGUGUCGUGAGAUGUUGGGUUAAGUCCCGCAACGAGCGCAACCCUUGUCCUUAGUUGCCAUCAUUCAGUUGGGCACUCUAAGGAGACCGCCGGUGACAAACCGGAGGAAGGUGGGGAUGACGUCAAGUCAUCAUGGCCUUUAUGACCAGGGCUACACACGUGCUACAAUGGUAGAUACAGAGGGUCGCCAACGCGCAAGCGGGAGCCAAUCCCAGAAAAUCUAUCGUAGUCCGGAUUGGAGUCUGCAACUCGACUCCAUGAAGCUGGAAUCGCUAGUAAUGCUAUAUCAGAACGAUAGCGUGAAUACGUUCCCGGGCCUUGUACACACCGCACGA
rnacentral:rRNA from 1 species